GGGCUGUGGAGGUAUGUGGCAGCGGGGGCAUGGCCAAGUGUCGGUCUGUGAAUGGAGGGUGGAGUCAGGGAAGGUAAGUGGUGGAAUCAUUGCACCUGAUGGGAAUUAACCUGUGUUUGUGUGUCUUCCCCAGUGACCGCACCCUUUAAAAGGAGAGAGAGAGCAGAGAAAGGGAGUUCUCUCCCCAACCAGAACACUUGUGUGUGUGUGUGUGUGGCUGGGAGAGUGUGAAAAGCUAAAAAAAAAAAAAAAAGAGUUUUUGAGAACUCAGUUCUGGCCUGCCGUGCUUCUGUGCUCCACCCACCUGGUCAGAAACAACAGCUUGUUAUGCAACUAAACAGGACAAAUAUCAAGGGGGAUGAAUACUUUUGCAAGACACUGGAGUUUCUCCUUGCCACUGUUGCCUCUGGUUUCCUCACUAAGGGAAAAAAAAUAAGCUUAAAUUUAAAGUAAGUAACUUUAUAUCCAGAGUACUGGAAAGACAAUAUCCAUGACUCUUUGGGUAAUUUAUGAAG